rnacentral:rRNA from 1 species
AGAGAAGCGCAAACGGUGGAUGCCUUGGCAGUAAGAGGCGAAGAAGGACGUGGAAUCCUGCGAAAAGCUAUGGGGAGCUGGAAACGAGCGUUGAGCCAUAGAUGUCCGAAUGGGGGAACCCGGCUGCAGCGAUGCGGUCAUUUGCAUUUGAAUACAUAGGAUGCAAAGGCGAACUCGGGGAACUGAAACAUCUAAGUACCCGAAGGAAAAGAAAUCAAGAGAGAUUCUCCAAGUAGCGGCGAGCGAACGGGGAGGAGCCUGGCGUGAUUUAUUAUUGAACUGAGUAGAACAAUUUGGGAAAGUUGGCGAUAGAGGGUGAAAGCCCCGUAUACGAAGGUUUGAUGAGGAACUAGGCACGCGAACAAGUAGGCCGGGACACGUGAAAUCCUGGUUGAAGAUGGGUGGACCAUCAUCCAAGGCUAAAUACUACUUACUGACCGAUAGUGAACCAGUACCGUGAGGGAAAGGUGAAAAGAACCCCGGAGAGGGGAGUGAAAUAGAAUCUGAAACCGUUUGCGUACAAGCAGUGGGAGCAUGGUUUAGGCUGUGUGACUGCGUACCUUUUGUAUAAUGGGUCAGCGAGUUACUUUCAGUGGCGAGGUUAACUGAAUAAGGGAGCCGUAGAGAAAUCGAGUCUGAAUAGGGCGAUAGUCGCUGGGAGUAGACCCGAAACCGGGCGAUCUAGCCAUGUGCAGGAUGAAGGUUGGGUAACACCAACUGGAGGUCCGAACCGGGUAAUGUUGAAAAAUUAUCGGAUGACGUGUGGCUAGGAGUGAAAGGCUAAUCAAGCCCGGAGAUAGCUGGUUCUCCCCGAAAGCUAUUUA